AAAGCAGGGGAUCGCAAGACCUUGCACUAUUGGAGCGGCCGAUAUCGGAUUAGCUAGUUGGUGGGGUAACGGCUCACCAAGGCGACGAUCCGUAGCUGGUUUGAGAGGACGACCAGCCACACUGGGACUGAGACACGGCCCAGACUCCUACGGGAGGCAGCAGUGGGGAAUUUUGGACAAUGGGGGAAACCCUGAUCCAGCCAUCCCGCGUGUGCGAUGACGGCCUUCGGGUUGUAAAGCACUUUUGGCAGGAAAGAAACGUCAUGGGCUAAUACCGCGUGAAACUGACCGUACCUGCACAAUACGCACCGGCUAACUACAUGCCAGCAGCCGCGGUAAUACGUAAGGUGCGAGCGUUAAUCGGAAUUACUGGGCGUAAAGCGUGCGCUGGCGGUUCGGAGAGAAAGAUGUGAAAUCCCAAAGCUUAACUUUGUAACUGCAUUGUUAACUACCAAACUAGAAUGUGUCAUAGGGAGGUGGAAUUCCGCGAGUACCAGUGAAAUGCCUAUAUAUGCGGAGGAUCUCCGAUGGCGAACGCAGCCUCAUGGGAUAACACUGACGCUCAUGAACGAAUUCGUGGGGAGGAAACAGGAUUAGAUACCCUGGUAGUCCACGCCCUAGACGAUGUCUACUAUCUGUUGGGGCCUUCGGG
rnacentral:rRNA from 1 species